rnacentral:sRNA from 19 species
AGCAUUAUUACCGCCAUUCCUCAUUUGGCGGGAUAGCGCACGGCUGUACCCAAACACCCGCCCUAGAGGCGGGUUUU